GACGAACGCUGGCGGCGUGCUUAACACAUGCAAGUCGAACGGAAAGGCCCUGCUUUUGUGGGGUGCUCGAGUGGCGAACGGGUGAGUAACACGUGAGUAACCUGCCCUUGACUUUGUGAUAACUUCAGGAAACUGGGGCUAAUACCGGAUAGGAGCUCCUGCUGCAUGGUGGUGGUUGGAAAGUUUCGGCGGUUGGGGAUGGACUCGCGGCUUAUCAGCUUGUUGGUGAGGUAGUGGCUUACCAAGGCUUUGACGGGUAGCCGGCCUGAGAGGGUGACCGGCCACAUUGGGACUGAGAUACGGAGCAGACUGCUACGGGAGGCAGCAGUGGAGAAUAUUGCACAAUGGGCGGAAGCCUGAUGCAGCAACGCCGCGUGCGGGAUAACGGCCUUCGGGUUGUAAACCGCUUUCGACUGUGACGAAGCGUGAGUGACGGUAAUGGGUAAGGAAGCACCGGCUAACUACGUG
rnacentral:rRNA from 1 species